rnacentral:rRNA from 1 species
GAGCCUUUUAUCCUGGCUCAGGACGAACGCUGGCGGCGUGCUUAACACAUGCAAGUCGAGCGAUGAAAUCCCUUCGGGGAUGGAUUAGCGGCGGACGGGUGAGUAACACGUGGGCAACCUGCCUCAAAGUGGGGGAUAGCCUUCCGAAAGGGAGAUUAAUACCGCAUAACAUUAGUUUUUCACAUGAAUUACUAAUUAAAGGAGUAAUCCGCUUUGAGAUGGGCCCGCGGCGCAUUAGCUAGUUGGUGAGGUAACGGCUCACCAAGGCCACGAUGCGUAGCCGACCUGAGAGGGUGAUCGGCCACAUUGGAACUGAGACACGGUCCAGACUCCUACGGGAGGCAGCAGUGGGGAAUAUUGCACAAUGGGCGAAAGCCUGAUGCAGCAACGCCGCGUGAGUGAUGAAGGCCUUCGGGUUGUA